AACAUCAAUAUUAAUUUAAUGACAUUCCAUAAGAAUAAAAAUCCAAUAGGACCAAGAUCUUAGCAGUUCACACCCGGUCAGAGGGACAAAAUUGAGAACCAUGCAGAUCAGCAAGUGUGAGUUACACUCUAAUGAGGAACAGGACAUCUGAAUAAAAAUUGGAAAAUUGCAAGGUUUCCCACUGCCCAAGCUGUUUAAGUACCGGUAUCACAACAAGUACCAAGACGGAAGAAAUAUGAAGGCCAAGUUAAUAAGUAGUUACUUCAAAUUAAUUUGAAUAGAUAUAUCAACAAAGCAUUGAAUGUUCUUUAAACUGCAUAUCUGUAGAAAAGAGUGCAGUACAAGUUCAGGUUCAUCAGCGGGCAAUGACAUUAAAGUAUACAAAAUUUCACACAAAAUACAAGUAAGAAAUAUUUUUUUUCCAAUGGGCAAAUGUAUUACCUUUUAUUAAUAUUUAAUACUUCUACUAGUUCUUAGAAAUUUUUGUGAAAUUAAAUAUAAUUUCCAGUUUAAAGGCCUAUUGUAUACAAGACAAAAAUUUAUAUUUUGAAAUAAAAAUCAUGCGUAGAUAAAUGUUAAUAAAGGUGAUCAGAGGAUUAAGAAAUAAUUUUAGUAUCAUUCCUGGGCCUCAUUUCAUAAACAAGUUAUUACUAUUGUAAUCUUGUCACUAUGACAAUUACCAUGGUAACAGGGCUGAGCAAGAAAUCAAGGUUUUUAUGGAAGCUGCAAUGGGCUUGGACAAAGUUACCAUAAUUGCAAGUCUUCAUAUAAUGGCUGAAUAAUUAUGUAGGAAUAUUAAAU